UAGCGGCGGACGGGUGAGUAACACGUGGGCAACCUGCCCUGCAGAUGGGGAUAACUCCGGGAAACCGGGGCUAAUACCGAAUAAUCAGUUCUUCCGCAUGGAAGAACUCUGAAAGACGGUUUCGGCUGUCACUGCAGGAUGGGCCCGCGGCGCAUUAGCUAGUUGGUGGGGUAAUGGCCUACCAAGGCGACGAUGCGUAGCCGACCUGAGAGGGUGAUCGGCCACACUGGGACUGAGACACGGCCCAGACUCCUACGGGAGGCAGCAGUAGGGAAUCUUCCACAAUGGACGAAAGUCUGAUGGAGCAACGCCGCGUGAGCGAAGAAGGUUUUCGGAUCGUAAAGCUCUGUUGUGAGGGAAGAACAAGUACGGGAGUAACUGUCCGUACCUUGACGGUACCUCAUUAGAAAGCCACGGCUAACUACGUGCCAGCAGCCGCGGUAAUACGUAGGUGGCAAGCGUUGUCCGGAAUUAUUG
rnacentral:rRNA from 1 species